rnacentral:tmRNA from 1 species
GGGGCUGACUGGCUUUGACAGCGUGUAGAGGUGGUGAGUAAGCAUGCAGAGUGAUGAUGCCCACACUCUUAAAUCAGAGACAUCAAAAAUUCAAAUGGCGAAAACAACUACGCUCUCGCUGCUUAAUCGAAGAACAGUAGAUUAGCUUUAUCUCCGCAACAGUUGCAGAGACGAGACAUCGCCCGAUUGUCCUUUUCCCGAGACGGAUCGACAAGGCGGUGCAGUUAAAUCGGGAAUUUGGCGACGGAAGCCUCGAGACUCGCCGAGACACUUAGAGGAUAAGGCUGCGGUUGGUGGUCCCUUGCCUGCCGCAACUCGAAAACCAAUUAGGGAAUAAGCAUGUAGAAAGCUCAUUAGUUCCACGUUUGGACGAGGGUUCAAACCCCUCCAGCUCCACUA